CCUACGGGUGGCAGCAGUAGGGAAUAUUGGGCAAUGGGCGCAAGCCUGACCCAGCCAUGCCGCGUGCAGGAAGAAGGCGUUCUGCGUUGUAAACUGCUUUUAUAUAGGAAGAAACGACCCUUGCGAGGGGCAUUGACGGUAUUAUAUGAAUAAGCACCGGCUAACUCCGUGCCAGCAGCCGCGGUAAUACGGAGGGUGCAAGCGUUGUCCGGAUUUAUUGGGUUUAAAGGGUGCGCAGGUGGUUUAUUAAGUCAGUGGUGAAAGACGGUCGCUCAACGAUUGCAGUGCCAUUGAUACUGAUAGACUUGAGUAAAGUAGAGGUGGGCGGAAUUGAUAGUGUAGCGGUGAAAUGCAUAGAUAUUAUCAAGAACUCCGAUUGCGAAGGCAGCUCACUUGGCUUUUACUGACACUCAUGCACGAAAGUGUGGGUAUCAAACAGGAUUAGAUACCCUUGUAGUC
rnacentral:rRNA from 1 species